GACGAACGCUGGCGGCGUGCUUAACACAUGCAAGUCGAACGGAAGGGCCUUGCUUUUUUGGGCUGACGGGUUGCGAAAGGGGGAAGUAACAGGUAUGUAACCGGCCCUAGAUUUUGGUGUAACUUCAGGAAACUGGGCUUAAUCCCGGAUCGGAGACCCUCUUCAAUGGUGGGGGUGGGAACUUUUAGGCGUUCGGGGUUGAAUGCGCGGCUUUCCGGCUGGUUGGUGGGGUAGUGGCUUACCAAGGCUUGGGAGGGUAGCCGGCCUGAGAGGGUGACCGGCCACAUUGGGACUGAGAGACGGCCCAGACUCCUACGGGAGGCAGCAGUGGGGAAUAUUGCACAAUGGGCGGAAGCCUGAUGCAGCAACGCCGCGUGCGGGAUGACGGCCUUCGGGUUGUAAACCGCUUUCGCCUGUGACGAAGCGUGAGUGACGGUAAUGGGUAAAGAAGCACCGGCUAACUACGUG
rnacentral:rRNA from 1 species